rnacentral:lncRNA from 1 species
UCAAAUCAAUGGCGGAAUUUCACAACAGAAAUAAAGACGCAAGAAAGCAACUGGGAACGAUCAAGGUCACCAAACCGACCGUCAUUUCCGAACUAACAAGUGAUUCUUUGUCUGAAAGGUUGAAACAGGUCUAAUCCAAGACAACCGUGCAAGAAGCAGGUGUCGCCCAAAGAAGAAGGUACAUGGGUACAGGAAGUACUUCGACAAUGAUGAAUUCACUCGAAAGUUAAGUUUCCACGAAACUCCCUUUUAUCUUCUAUUAAAACAAGAAAACUCAAAAAAAAAUAGAUCGUUUAGUAUUCUCGAACUUUGUCCCCAGCCAGCCAGCAUUAGGGUUUUAAACCCUAAACUGAGCUUUUCCAUGCAAUCAGCAUUAGGGUUUUAAACCCUAAACUGAUUUUUUUCAUUUUAGUCAGCAUUAGGGUUUUAAACCCUAAACUGAACUUUUUCCAUUUAGCCAGCAUUAGGGUAUUAAACCUUAAACUGAGCUUUUCCUUCCAGUCAGCAUUAGGGUUUUAAACCCUAAACUGAAUUUUCCUUUUAGUCAGCAUUAGGGUUUUAAACCCUAAACUGGACUUUUUCUAUUCAGCCAGCAUUAGGGUUUUAAACCCUAAACUGAGCUUUUUCAUGCAGUCAGCAUUAGGGUUUUAAACCAUAAACUGAAUUUUCCUUUUAGUCAGCAUUAGGGUUUUAAACCCUAAACUGAACUUUUCCAUUCAGCCAGCAUU